GGGUGGCUAAAUUAUACGGGAUAGCAACUGUGCUCCAAAACUGUGGGGUUCCGAUUGCUUAGGAGAGACUUUUUCGAGUGUGGAAGCAGAGGUUAAAGAGAUGCUUACAUCAAUGCAACACAACUGGCAAAAUACAAAUAAAUGAACAAAAAAAUCUUAAAAUUAUUUUAAACUAGGGGGCGUAGUGUAGCGACCGUGUUCCGAAGAUCGAUGUUAGGAUGAUCUGAGGACUGACUGGUCGAACUGUGAGAACGUACUGAAUGGAUUGGAUGAUGCUAAAAAGAGCUGAUCAGAGUU
rnacentral:lncRNA from 1 species